AUGAACGCUGGCGGCGUGCCUAGUACAUGCAAGUCGAGCGAACGGACGAGAAGCUUGCUUCUCUGAUGUUAGCGGCGGACGGGUGAGUAACACGUGGAUAACCUACCUAUAAGACUGGGAUAACUUCGGGAAACCGGAGCUAAUACCGGAUAAUAUUUUGAACCGCAUGGUUCAAAAGUGAAAGACGGUCUUGCUGUCACUUAUAGAUGGAUCCGCGCUGCAUUAGCUAGUUGGUAAGGUAACGGCUUACCAAGGCAACGAUGCAUAGCCGACCUGAGAGGGUAAUCGCCAACACUGAAACUGAGACACGGUCCAGCCUCCUAGGGGAGGCAGAGGUAGGAAUUUUUCGGCAAUGGGCAAAGGCCUGACGGGGAAACGCGGGGGAGGUAAUGAGGGUCUUCGAACGGAAAAACCUUGUUAUAAGGAAGAACAUAUGUGUAAGUAACUGUGCACAUCUUGACGGUACCUAAUCAGAAAGCCACGGCUAACUACGU
rnacentral:rRNA from 1 species